rnacentral:rRNA from 1 species
CAAGUCGAGCGGACCUUUCGGGGUCAGCGGCGGACGGGUGAGUAACGCGUGGGAACGUGCCUUCCGGUUCGGAAUAACCCUGGGAAACUAGGGCUAAUACCGGAUACGCCCUUAUGGGGAAAGGUUUACUGCCGGAAGAUCGGCCCGCGUCUGAUUAGCUAGUUGGUGGGGUAACGGCCUACCAAGGCGACGAUCAGUAGCUGGUCUGAGAGGAUGAUCAGCCACACUGGGACUGAGACACGGCCCAGACUCCUACGGGAGGCAGCAGUGGGGAAUAUUGGACAAUGGGCGCAAGCCUGAUCCAGCCAUGCCGCGUGAGUGAUGAAGGCCUUAGGGUUGUAAAGCUCUUUUAUCCGGGACGAUAAUGACGGUACCGGAGGAAUAAGCCCCGGCUAACUUCGUGCCAGCAGCCGCGGUAAUACGAAGGGGGCUAGCGUUGCUCGGAAUCACUGGGCGUAAAGGGCGCGUAGGCGGCGUUUUAAGUCGGGGGUGAAAGCCUGUGGCUCAACCACAGAAUGGCCUUCGAUACUGGGACGCUUGAGUAUGGUAGAGGUUGGUGGAACUGCGAGUGUAGAGGUGAAAUUCGUAGAUAUUCGCAAGAACACCGGUGGCGAAGGCGGCCAACUGGACCAUUACUGACGC